GGGGAUGUAGCUCAGUGGGAGAGCGCCUGCCUUGCACGCAGGAUGUCGGCGGUUCGAAUCCGCUCAUCUCCA
rnacentral:tRNA from 1 species